GUUUUUGUUCUUUUCCUUUACAUGCGCUGACCGCGGCCACAUGAGAAGACACGAUACUGAGAGUGGUGCAUCAUUCCCCGGCUGUCGUCACAAGUGCUCCGCCUGAUAUCGCUAAGCUAAGCGAUACACGAACUCCUGUGUGCUGGUCACCACUGCGGCCGCGCGUGCGCGUUUGAAAGCGGCGCGCGUUGCUGCUGGAGGCCGUCCAGGUGCGACGAGAC